rnacentral:lncRNA from 1 species
GAUGCAGUGCCUAUAGGCAGCACCAAAUCACCAGAGGGGUUGGAGUCUGAAGCUAAAAUUGUUGAUGGUUUUCAGGUUUGUGGGACAUUGCCAGGAAAUGUUUCUGAAAACUUGGAUCAGCUUCCAGUUACCUUGGCCAUAGGGGGCGAUAAUGUGGAAGGCUUAUCUGAGGCAGGGCCUAUAGACAACUCCAAUUCACUAGAAGAGUCAAAAUCUGAAGCUAAAAUUGUUGAUGCUUCUCUGGUUUGUGGGACAUUGCCUGGAAAUGUGUCUGAAAACUUGGAUCAGCUUCCAGUUACUUUGGCCAUAGGGGGGAAUAGUGUUGAAGGCGUAUCUGACGCACGGCCUAUAGACAGCUCCAAAUCACUAGAAGAGUCAGAAUCUGAAGCUAAAAUUGUUGAUGCUUUUGAGGUUUGUGGGACAUUGCCAGUGGAUGUGUCUGAAAACUUGGAUCAGCUUCCAGUUACCUUUGCCAUAAGGGGUGAUAGUGUUGAAGGCUUAU